GCACUACUGAGGAGUCCCACAAUAGGACGGAACAGCUGUCAAGUGC
rnacentral:hammerhead_ribozyme from 1 species